rnacentral:lncRNA from 1 species
UAAGACAAGAAGAAGAGAGAGAUCACUCAGUGUGUAAUGAUGCCAUAUUAAUCUCAUGUUGGAUAUAUAUCUUCUUCUUCUUUUUUGUUCUUAGGCGCUAUGGUUUUCUCAUUUUAGUUUCUCUUUCUUGCUUUAUUUUCUGCUAGUAUGGGUAAAAUUCCAUCUGGAAAUAUGUAGUUGUUCCAUGCUAAUGUAUAAAUAGCUUUCCCUUUUGCCUGCCUUGUGAAACAUCAUUUCGUUGCUCGCCCAUUUUCUCAUUGACGGGGAAUUCCGAGUCUCUUCAUUUAUUGUCAAACCUAUGAAAAGAAGAAGAAAACAUUGUUAUAUAAUCACCAAGGUGCAGAGAGUCAAUUCAGCUCGUAGACACACAAUAAGAUCAGGUGGUAAAGGCGACGCGUCUGACAUCACCUGCUCGUCUCAAACACUUUUCAUCUCUCCUCAUAACUUGGCCUAUCUUUAAGGCCAUGAUCUCUCUGCCUGCUUAUUUGACCCUUUCCACUUAUCCUCUACAUUUGCAUUUACUCAAAAGCUUCUCAAGACGGACUAUAUGGUUACUUGUGAUAUAUGAUUUACAUGAAGUACAUGACGAAUUUGCAGACAACAUUGCAAACUGUCAGCAAAUGUGCCAAAACGGUGAAACUUCUGCAAAUUACUCCCUCUCGGUUUGUGUGAAUGCAUAUACAUAAACUGUGGCAGUAUAAUGAUCCGUAUAGUGCACCCCAAAAGAAACAAUUCCGUAAAGGGCAUGCAACUUCUCAGAUAUAGAGAAUGUGGUAUGAAACGCCGCCUUCUUUGUUCUUCUCAUACAUGGCAUUCGUUUACCUGAUGACAUGGGUAGUAUCUGCAGCCAUUCCAAGGCGGAGCAGCAGCAGCAGCAGCAGCGGUGCCGGCCCACCACCACCCCUUUUCCUUCUUGAGGUGCGUGCUGGUGGUGUUGCUUUUUCGCCUUGGCGAGUUUCUAAGUAGGCCACGGGAGCCUCGAGUGGUGGCGGGGGGCGGGGGUGGCCGUCUCGGCGACUGCAAACGCCACCGCCAGCAGCACCGUCUCCCCGCCCUUGUUCGCAGCACUUGGAGCCUCGAUGUAUGCAGAGUCCGAAUCACGAGGCAUAAGCUCCGCGGCGGAUCUCGGCUCACAUCCGCCCCCCCCUACGUGACCCUUCUUCGCCAAGACCGCCCGACGCCCGUCUUAACACGUUGACAAGGAGAAGAUACCGGUGAGUCCCACAAGAGUGUAUAUACACACGUAUAUAUACGUACGUAUGCACAAAAGUUGAGGUCCCACAAAAGGAAUAGCGAUUAGCGUAAAUGCGACGGUCGGGUCGCACUGACAUCCAGUCGAUCGGACGGCGGGCAGAAGUCCAGAUUCCCCGUUCGUCACGGGACGGGAGGUGGGUGUCACGUGGGAGGUGUACCCUCGCGUCAGAUACGUCCAUCCUCGCUGACUCGGACGGGCCCCAUCGGCUCCUCCUGCGAACAAUUAUUCCUCCAUCAUGUCCGUAGAUUUUGGUCAGCCGAGUGGGCCCCCGACGUUGUUUUUUUUGGAUAUAUUUACGAAAAGGCUAGGGUUCCUCGCAAACCCCGUUGGGGACAGAAGAAUUGGAUAGCCGCAGCAGCAGCAGCAGGGGGAAAGCGUUGUACUCGCACAGCGAUAUUGAAUCAAUCAUGUUGACAUUUGUGAUCUGUGGUGCUACCUCUUGAUUCCAGGAACGUCCAAGUGAUCACUAUGUGUCAAGAACAGAGCCAUUCUCAACAUCCAUCAAGAGAACAAGACGGUGAGGAUCUCAAACUUGGUGUUUCAAGUGACUUCAAUUGGAACUCGCAUGAGAUUUUGGCCUUAAAACCAAUGGAAGCUGCCUGGUUCAGAAAUAUUCUGCAGAAAAGGCAUCCACUGGUUCAGAUAGCUCUUGCAGACUGAAGCUUAUGAAGACUGAACUCAUAUGGCAAUGAAGCAAAGGUGGUAUUCUGCAGCACUAAUGAAUGUAUAACUCCAGUUUGCUGUGAAAAUGCUGUGUUCUUCUUCUCCGAUGGGAAUUUUGGUACUAUUUAUUUUCUGAAACACAGUAAUAUGUCUUGUUUGACUGUUCAGAACUGGCUGCCAAUCCAAACAAAAUCAUUUCUUUUUGGUCUGAAGUUGGUGAUGCAUAUUAAGGGAUAAAAUUGCAGAUGCACAGAAUCUAAAGGGGAAACUCCCUCUGAGAUACUUCAAGUGAAACAUGCAGUUGCUAUACCAUUCACCAUAUCUUCAACUUGGGAGAGAAGGAAAGGAGAAGCCAAAAAAACAAAUACAGAAAUAUAUGGGUGAGAAUGAAACUCUCACUCAUUAUCACUAAUCUCUCACUCAUUCAGUACUUAAUUAGCACUCUUACGAAGUAAAUGAUCUGUACGCGGUCCAAAUAUUGGGCUGAGCCUAAAAGAAUCCGGCCCAGUCUAUCUUAAAGCUUUAAAGUUCGAACCUAGCAAGUUCAUACGACAUCAAAUUUAUCAUGAAUGGACGUAACAUUUGGGAAAAAACCCAUUGUUGUCGUGCAUUAUAAAGCUCAAUUAACUAAUCGGGAAACGACAUCUAAAUGAAGUCAAUGCUUUACUAGUAAUUACCGGUGAACUAAUUUAUUAUGUCAACUGGUUCUAAAUUCAAUAUGAUAUAUUUAAUUUAACAUUUAAAAUGUAUUUCGAUCAAUGGUUGUAACAAAAUAUUAAGCACAAAUUCUCAGAAAAAAAAAUUUUCAAUUUUGAUAAUUUUUCAGAUAAUGUCUCGAUUUUAAAAAUUUUACUUAUAAUUUUAUCUUUUAAAAAUUAAUCAUUGACCAUCAUUCUCUGUCUUAUCGAUCACCCCCUCUAAACAGUUGCUCAUUACUCAUAAUGCAGGAGUGGUCAUGCACAACAAUGAACAAUUGAAAAGAUCUCACCCUCAUUGGACCUAACAACUACCUCUCAUCGCUUGGUUGUCUAUGUCCCUACGUAUAAGUUGACUUUACUAGUCGCUUUCACUUCAUCCAAAAUAGAUGCCCAUUUUUUACAACGCCUUUGGCCAUCUCUGCACACAAGUUUGUUAACGCUCGUGAUAAGUGAUUGAAUGCCUAGGGUUGACGUAGAUACUUAUGGUAUCCCAAAGGCCUAAAGAUAAUGAUGAAGUUAAUGUAGGAAGAAUGAGAUGAUGGUGCAAAGUGUAAAACGACGAUGGAGGUAAAGAUAAAAUUACCAAGGGUGCCUAUAGAAUUUUUUUAAUUAUGAUAUUAUUCGAAAAAAUCUCAGUUAAAUUUUUUUAAUAAAAGUUCACCCAAACAUUAAUUUAGGAAAGGGCUAAAAGAUUAGUUACCUCAUUUUGAUAUCUACUGUUAGUAUAAAAGAUAUUUUCUUGAUGAACACGUGUCACCAUCAUAUCCAACACACGGGGUACGUCGUGCCAACGGCCCGCAGCGGAUCUGCUGUGUGAGCGAUGCUUCUCGAAGCUUCCCUGCACGUGGGAAACGCGUCACACUGGUGGCUUCCGUGAGGUGUGGCCGACGGCCAUUAAGCGAGGCAUCGCCAUCGUCCAUCCGCCGACGUCAGGGUAAGUGACGGCCGAACAACCACCCAACACGGUCUGCUCGCACAUCCCCACGAGCACUCGUGCCGUCUACCACACGGCACGAAUCUCCAGGCUCAUCUUAUCGCUCCUUUCUGAGAACGCCACACCAAACCGCAAACACGAAAUUGUGGCAAAUAAGUAUCUCAAACGUGGCAUGUAUAAAACGUGGAGAAUUUGCCGUCCGUGUAAAGAGACGUUCGACUUUGUGCCCAAUCAGCGUAUCGUAAGCCGGCUUCACAUGAAAUGGUUCCUCGUUGCCACCGCAAGCCAAAACUUCCCCUGCCCUUCCCCAGUCAAAGUCAAAUCAGCCCCAAGUGGUGACCAAACACGUCGCUUUGAUGGGCUAUUUGUCUUGAAACAGGAACUUGUGAUCCAAACUUCAGCCUACGGCCCUCAUCCCCCGUUCUGUGGGACCCACUCAUUUCAACGAAUGGCAGGUGCUUUGUCGUGAAGUAAGAGAGUUUCCUGCUUUACGGACGUCAGCUGCAAAGAACUAAAAACCGCGUGCCGAAAAGACCUAAUCGAAUGAAUCGAGCAGAUCGCCUCAGCCCCUAACGGUUACCUCACGCCUUAUCCUGUCCCGACGGCGCAUUUUACCUCAUCCAAACCACUGUACCCUAUAACCUUCCUCCACGCGUCCGUUCACUUCCAACAACGGUAAUCUGUCCCCGACCUACCUACCUCCCCCCUUCUCUCUCUCUCCUCUCUCUAAACGCUAAGGAGAGAGAAAAAAGGGACAGAAAAAAGAAGAGGAAAGCGAGAUCGGAACCCGAAAUGGGAAAGCUCCUCUCCAACUCCGCCGCCGUCGCCGAAACCCUAAACCCAUCGCCGUCCCUCCUCCAGUGGCCGGACCCGGACCCGAUCCAUACACCAGAGGCCGCCGAUCCGGCGACAGCUGCCUUCGCGUGGGCCGCCGUCUCCGGGCUGGACGAGCAGCAGCGACGGCGGCUCGAGAAGAUCCACGCGCGGGGGGUCUUCUGGAAGAACCCGCGCGAUGCGGAGGCCCCCGGUGUGGCGUUCCGGCUGGAGCACGGCGGUGACGUGGAGGCGGACGGAAACUGCCUGUUCACGGCGGCGCGGAGGGCGAUGGGGCCCAAGACGGCCGGGGCGCGUGAGCUGCGGCAGCGAGCGGUGCGGCGGUUCUUGGAGGACUAUGGAUCGGCGGACGGUGCGGCGAGGGAGGCGGCAGACGUGGCUAUCCGGCACUUGUACUCGCCGGAUCUGAAGGCUGGGUGGGGCAUUCACGUCGUGCAGGAGGUGAAGCUCCUAGCGAAGAAGGCGGAUCGCGAGGGCUUGGAUGCCUCCAUUCAGGAGCUCGUAGAUCUAGGACUCCAAAGGUAUAGCAUCAUCGCCUUUUCCUUUUUUAUUUAACUAAUUUUCUUUACUAAACGUUCUUUAUCUUUCGACGCUUAGAUCUAUUUGUACGUUCUUAAUUCUAUUUAUUGUUUCUUUCUUUUCUUUGGAAAAUUUUCUCGUAUUGUUUUGCAGUUUAUGCUUGUUAUCGUUUGUCUUCAAUUUCAUACUUGUGGAAAUUCUACAAUAUAUAUAAUCUGCGGCAUUUCUUAAUACUGUGGAUCGACUUUGUUGCAUACUCAUUUGCUAUUUGGAAGGUAUCAGAAAAGGCAAGGGUAAUACAUUGCCAGAGAGCGCUGAUUUUUUUCAGGAUCAUACAAGAUUAUUUUCUGAUAUGUCUGUCAGCUGCAUUCUUGACGAAGAGGUUUAAGAAGUUUUUAUCUACUUUUUCAUGGCAUAUUCAGAUUUUUUUCAUUGUCGACAUAUGCACCGAUGCACCAAACUUGUGCUGAUGCUUCAAACGUUUUAUUUCAAAUGAAAUUAUUGCUUUCCAUUUGUGUAUAGUUAGGCUAAUCUUGUCCGUAUAUUAGCUAAAGUCGAUGUCAUGGGACCAGGUAAGGUCAUUUUAUUGUACUUAACCAUAGAGGACACUGGGUAACAGUUGGUGCAUGAUAAGUGAAACUUGACUUGACUUUAGCUGCCCAACCCAUCUUGUCUGUCCAAGUUGGCUAAACUUGGUUUUUUUCAUGGUUGACCCUGUCCCAUCACUUUCUUGUAUUAGAGUAACGUAGUCAAAAUCAUCUUGAGCUUGAAGGAACAUUGUUGUGUGAAACUAGCAUUAUGUUCUCAUCUAACUAUUAUUAGGAAAUCAAGAUCUUGGGCUGAGCUUUGUGAAAUCAAAAUUUCUUGAAUAUAUUCUAGCUUUUACUGUUGAAAACACCAUUCUUUUUUUUUAUUCACAUAUAUCAUGAAUAUCCCUUUUGUGGCUCGCCAAAAGAAAAAAACAAAAGAUUAUCGUCUGAUUACAAAAUCAUGCCACAUCUUGUAAAUAAAAAAUGUAUGUUUUAAAUCUUGCUUCAUUUAGUAGUUCUCUAAUUGAAUUCGGAAACAAUGAAUUUUUGGAUGAGUUCUAAAGAUUCACAGAUUGUGAUAAGAGAAAUUUGUGCGAGAUGUUUGUAUUUGUUUGCUGACUUUACUUCUCAAUUGACUGAAGGGAAGGGGCAGCAGAAUCUAUUUAUAAAGAGAGAUGCAUGGCCAUAAAUGAUGGGCUAAGUUGGGCAAAGUACAUGUCCAUCUCUGGCUCUCCGGAGGAUGAGUAUGACAUCAUUACAUUACAAUACACAGAGGAGGGGUUGUUAAGCAUAGAUGAGAAUCGGAAUGGCCAUGCUGCAGCUUUUGGCGAUGAUAUUGCCAUUGAGAGCUUGGCAACAGAGUUCCGACGGGAAGUAUAUGUGGUGAGUGUCAUGCUCUGAUAAAGUAGUCUGUUUAUUCUUCUGGUCCAUAAGUCUAUUCUAAGGCCGCUUAUUAAUUUUACGAAACCCUGUUUCAUGAUUGCUAAGUUGUGCCUCCUGUGUUUUGUCGUCUUUGUUACUUUUUCAGGUUCAAGCACAUGGGUCGGAUGCAAUGGUGGAUGAAAACGAUUGCGUCUUCUUUCUCCCCCACAGUCCCAGGGUUCAAAUUUGUGAACCUCCCAUUUUUCUGUUUAUGAAGGGAACAGGUAAACAUAAUUUUGCAACAAUAUGGUGCAAUGCCUGAUAUUCGAUCUCUGUUCUGGUUAACAUGUUGUAAUUUAUUCCUCCCAAUUUAAGUUGUAUUGCUUUCGUUGUUGCUAUAUUCUACUCUCCUGGCGAAACCUUAUACAAUUUCAUAGAUCUCACACUUGAAAUUCCAGCCCCUUCAAGCCCAUCAUCCUCUUCUUUAAUUUUUUUUAACUUAAGCCCGAGAUUAAUUAUUGCUAUUAACUUAUGUUUUAGACUGUUUAUAGCUUCUACAAUUUACUUUUUGAAGAAAGAAAAAGUGUGAGCAUCAGUGUAGGACAGGUUUUCUUUUUCAUCAUUAUGUGUUGUACUUUCUUGAAUGCAUCACAGUUGUUUCUAAUAUAUGACUGUUCAAACAAGUGGGCAAUUGUUGUUGCCUCGAAUGUUUGUCUUUCUGAGCUUUUCAGAUAAUGUGUGCUGAAAUGUUCCAAGUAGCAUAUAGCCUAGCAUGGUGUCAUCAACUUAGGUUGGGUUUGUCAUUGGACUGCUAAAUUCGUUUAGUUGCUGGGACCAGUUUAACCUGCUCCUGAUCCUACUUCUAUGGACUGAUUCAAGGUUUGUCAACAUCUUGAAGAUUCCAAGAUCGGUGGUGAAUUGAGCAUUGUCAAUGAUUUGGUAGACCUGACAUGUAGACUUUUAGAUAUGAGCUUUUUAUUUAAGGCUUUUUUUUAUAGUUUAUCUUCUAAUAUUUGAAACUUCAAGUGACAUUACCGAAUAGUUAUAAUUCAUGUUGUUUUAGAUAAUUCACAUGUCUGUCAAAAUAGAUCUAGACAAAGUGCCAUGCCUCAAAAUUUCCGAUUAUAAUUUUAUAUCUGCUAAAUAUGCAAUCUUGCCAUAAUUUUACCAAAAUUAUCAGAAUAUGAAUUAUGUGGGUGAUGGUUAACCGUACAAACAUCUACUGUUGCUUUUGAUUUAUUCUGGGUAUGCAGUGUAUUCAUCCUAUGACAAGUUGUAUGCUUUGACAAGUGCAGUUAGAUGUCAGUCUCUUCUCUUGUCCUUUGUCCUUGUUCUAAAUGUUAAAGACAAUCUACAUGUGGUGUGUUACAGGUUGGUGUGGUGCGGGAGCUGACCAUUACGAGCCUUUAAUAGCCAAUCCUCUUCCUCUUAUUUCCCAGGACAAGGCUGCCGUCGUACUGUGAGAUGCAUCCAUUGCCAGAUUUUGUGGAGCUGAGCUGGGCUGUGUCUUAGUUUUUUCCUCAUGGACAUUAUUGGCUCAUUAUCGUCGAGGGCAAUUAUUGAUUCUUUUUCUGUAUUAUUUUUUGAACAUGAUCCAAUUUGGAUCGAUGCUGACUCUGACUACUACCCUCGAGACCAACCCCUUGCGCUGUUUCUGUAUCGGUAUUGGUAGUUUAAAGUGGUGAGAGAUUUCUCGGAGUCGUUUUCGACUACUAUCGUUACGAAGAUCUUGAUUGUUAUGAUCAGAGUCAUGUUUUCUCUUCUUUUUUUUUUUGGUCUUUUUAGAUUGAUAUCAUGAGAGUGGUGGCAAUGUUUGAACUCUCUCGUUUGUUAAGACAAAUUAAUUCAAGCACAUGCCUCCUUUUGAGUUAUUUUGUUGAUCUCAUGGAUGUGGCCAAAGCUGUAGCUGUCGAUGCAAGCUUUGUUUAAUGGUGUAAGUUGAUACCAUUGUUCUUAUUAGUCGGAGCUGGUUUUAAUCACAUUAAGCGAUAUAUAGGGAUUAUUCACAUGAAGAGCCGAUGUGCAGUCCAUCCAAUAGGGGCUUGUAGGGAAAAGAAAUGGAUUUGUAAACAACCAAACACAUGAACAAACUAUUAAGUGGAGGACCUAUAGACAUUAAGAUAAUCAAUUGAUGAUGCAUAAUAUAAAAUUAGAUUUUAUAAAUUCUAAACAAUCGCACCAUAUUGACUCCAAAGCACUCAUUGCGAUGAAACCUACAUAGCAUAAGCGUCAAUAUAUGUUGAGAUGAUAAGUAUCUUAAAACUUUUGAAAUAAAUGUCUUAUGAACGAAGUCUUCAUAAUUAUUAUGAUUUGGUUCUUCUAUAGAUAUCUUAUAUAUCUCUAAAUUUUUUUAAAUAGAGAGCAAGAUUUAAGGAAUACUUAUGGUACUCUUGAAACUCUCUUUAGAGUAUUUAGAAAAGAUACUCUCUAGCUUUAAGAUGUUUAGAAAGGGUAGAGAGGGUGAGAGAAAAGAUAAAUUCUAUGGGGUUUAUGCGAGAGAGAGAGAGAGAGAGUGUGUAAAGAAAUUUGGUAACUGAAAGAGAUUUAUAAUUAAUCUUGUAUUGUGAAGAAUUUGAUUUUCUCCAUGGACAUAGACAUUAAUCUAACGUUGAUUUUUUUGGGUAUGCUCUUGAUUGUUAAUCUCUUGAUAUUUUUUUGAUUUUUUAAAAUUUUUUCUCUCCCUUUCCAAUAACAAUAUGAUACUAUUGCAAGAGCAAGCGACACCCAAGAGCUUUUAAGGGUGUUGAGAUGCUUGACAUUUUGAGUACAACUCUACUAUAUGAAACCAUUAUAAGUUAUAAGUUAAAGACUUCGUUUUUGGACAAUUUUAACUCUACAUGAUAAUUACAUAUAAGUUAUAAUUACAAACUAGAUACAUCUACAAAACCUAACUAAAAUGAGACUUCAAGCCUAUUGCUAACUCUUUAUAUACUACCUAAGUUAUGAACGAAUCAAAAAAUACGAACAUUAUAUUGAACAUUUUCUUUGCGAAUAAUCUAUGACAUUCUCCUCCACUUUUUUUUUUAUAUUCUCGUUAAAGACUUUGCAAAUGUUGCAUCUCUAAUACUCCUUCGAUUGCAUGUACCUCAUGGGUCUCAACUAUUCUCUACACAUUAAUAUUGAGUAGUUGAUUCUUGAUUUGUUAAUUUUAUUUCAACUCAUCUAUGAAUGUGACUUUGGUGUGGGAUUCAUCUAGUUCUAUUGAUUUUUGUUGGUUAUUAUGGAUCUCUUUAGAUGAAGAAAAAUGAUAUUUAUUUUUAUGCACUAAUCUGUCAAUUGUUUUGUAUCGAUUGAGCUAGAUGGAUGCAUAUUGAAACUUAAAUAAACAUGACGUUACAUAAUUUAAAGUUUUAAGACCUUCUCCACAAAAUUUGCCUAAUAGAUUUUUUUUUUACUUAGGCAUCAUCUCUAAGUUGCAUCGCCUUAUUUUUUUUUUUAUGUCACUAUCACCAACAUUGGAUAUUUGACAAAUAUUAUAUUUUUCUAAGUAAGAAGGGACUUAAAAAUUGUGCAGAGCUCAUAUAUAAGAUAACAAAGAGAAAAAGAAAUAAAUAAGUGAGAAAGCAAAUGAUGAGAAAAUUAUCAUAACAAUGAAGUGAAUAUAUAUUUUAUAAAUCAUAUGAAGUACGAAGAUAGAUUUCGCUAGCUCUAAACAAUCAUACGAUAAAAAAACCAACACAACCAACUGUUCCAAAGUUAUCAUGUACAAAUGCCAAUGCGACACUACUACAAAACUAAACUAUGGCUCAACCCAGGAUACUACCUCAAAGCCCCAUUCAACCGUAUUCCAUCCGAGUGUUCCAAGAUAUUGAGAUAAUUGACAUUUUGAUGGCAUCUCAAUUCUAGGAAAUCCCUACAAGUUGCAAGCCAAAGACUCCAUUCUCAAACAAUUUUACCUUACACGACCACAUGCAAACAACGAUUACAAACCAGAAACCAUAAAACCCAACCUUAAUAAGACCGCUAACAUGAUACAUAAAAUAUGAAAAAUACAAACAUUACGUCGGGCACCUUGCUGCGAACAAUUUAUGGUGCAGAGAUUGAAACCUUUUAACAGGUAGGUAUGAAAGAAACAUCAGCAAGCAAUAAAGAGCUCGUAUCCAUGCAUGUAUUCAGAGAGUUCAACACCACUCACUCUUCCUACUGGUUAAGUGAAAAAGCAAAACUCAAUGGAAACUCAAUAUUGAAAACCACUGACAAAAGAAUAAUCACUACAUAUACAAUUUAACAGACUUGUGCACAACUUCCUUCUCCAUUUUUCAUCCCAGAUUGCUGAGACUCCAAUGGAUGCGCAAGAGAGCAGCUUUUACAAAGAGCAGUUGCAUCAACUAAAAUCAUCAGUUUCAUUUCCUAAUUCACUUAAGUUGCCAAUGGCAUGUUUGCAUAAAGAAGAGUGUAGAAUAGUUCAACCUCCGGUAAGCUUCGAACAGACUGCACAAAUUUGUUGUCGCCGGGCUCACCGAGUAGAGGCAAGCUUAGCCAUGUGAUUUGCGGCAAUAGUUUGGCCAAGGGAACUCCUGAAGAGCUUGUCCCUCCAACAUGUAUGCCUACAUCCUCGGUCAGGAUAUCAACUACCUUGUUGAGAGAUAUCUCCAAGACGUUUCUAAAAUCAGGACUGCAAGAAGAGUAAUGCAAAAAGGUCAUUCCCAGAAAACAAGCAAGCAUAUGGUAAAUGGCACGGAUUAUAAAAAAGAGUAAAAUACAUUAAACUUCUACUUACAUCAAUUGCAACCUAAAUAGAUAAAUAUGUUCUGUAAGAAUCUCAGCUUUCAUCAGAAAAAUAUGAAGCAAUUAGAAUAAAAAAAUCCAUCGUAUUUAUUUUUAUUUUUUUUACUUUACUGCAUUUUAUUGAAGCAAUGCACUCCACUUUUUUUUGUAGAAACAAAACUCAUACAAAAAUAACCUGCAAUUACUAGUAUCAACAGCUCUAACCUUCCUGAGGUCUACACAGUUUUAUGUUCCAGCAUGAAGCCUUAAAAGGUUAUUCAUACCAUCCAUGGUAAAAAACUGGAGGUCUAAAAGUACUUGUAUACCAUCAGCACAAACUUUCACAUAGUUCUGCUAGUAAGCCUGAUGCAGGAUAAAUUAUAAUGAGAAAAGGAAGUUUCCUUUUAAAGAAAAGAAUAGAAAGGGGAAAAAGAGAGGAAUAGAAAAAAUGAUAAUAGGAAAAGAUAAAAAAGAACAAGGAUAUUUAUCAGACUUACUCCAGCUCAACAAGAAACCUUCAGGAACAAAAGUUUCAUACCUCCAUAUGGCUUACAUGUAUACAAUGAAAUUAUACCAUCGAAAAUUAAAAUAUUGUAUCACACUACUGAUAAUAUUAUGUAAGAAAAAAAAA